rnacentral:rRNA from 1 species
UGUAGCGGUGAAAUGCGUAGAUAUUAGGAAGAACACCAAUGGCGAAAGCACUCUACUGGGCCAUAACUGACACUGAGAGACGACAGCUAGGGGAGCAAAUGGGAUUAGAUACCCCAGUAGUCCUAGCCGUAAACGAUGGAUACUAGAUGUUGCACGUAUUAACCCGUGCAGUAUCGUAGCUAAGGCGUUAAGUAUCCCGCCUGGGAAGUACGCUCGCAAGAGUGAAACUCAAAGGAAUUGACGGG